rnacentral:misc_RNA from 1 species
UUGAUUGAUUCAUCAAAUACUCCGACGUACGGAUACAGAGUUGAUAUGGUCCGCCGUGGUGCCCGACGGCCGGCACAUCGGCGUGCGGCUCGCUCCCAAAGCAACAAGUGUUGGUCAUCAAAGCGUUAGGGGUCCGGCCGGGGCCCUCACUCGGUAAUGAUCCCUCCGCAGGUUCACCUAUUAAAUAGUUAGCAUUCAAUUCACGAUCAACGGGGUACGGUUUCAGGGUCGACACUACCUACGGAGA